AGCAGCCGCGGUAAUUCCAGCUCCAAUAGCGUAUAUUAAAGUUGCUGCAGUUAAAAAGCUCGUAGUUGAAUUUCGGGACCAUCAUGUCGGUCGUGCCUCGGUACGUACUGGUAUUGUUGGUUUCUCCCUUCUGACGAACCAUGAUGUCAUUUAUUUGGUGUUGUGGGGAAUCAGGACUGUUACUUUGAAAAAAUUAGAGUGUUUAAAGCAGGCUCACGCUUGAAUACAUCAGCAUGGAAUAAUGAAAUAGGACGUUUGAUUCUAUUUUGUUGGUUUCUAGGAUCGACGUAAUGAUUAAUAGGGAUAGUUGGGGGCAUUAGUAUUCAAUUGUCCGAGGUGAAAUUCUUGGAUUUAUUGAAGACUAACUACUGCGAAAGCAUUUGCCAAGGAUGUUUUCAUUAAUCAAGAACGAAAGUUAGGGGAUCGAAGACGAUCGGAUACCGUCGUAGUCUUAACCAUAAACUAUGCCGACUAGGGAUCGGAUGAUGUUAAUUUUUAAUGACUCAUUCGGCGCCUUAAC
rnacentral:rRNA from 1 species